rnacentral:rRNA from 1 species
GGUCUCUUAGGAGAUAGUGGCGGACGGGUGAGUAACGCGUGAGUAAUCUGGCUUCAGGUCUGGGACAACAGUUGGAAACGGCUGCUAAUACCGGAUGUGCCUGUGGGUGAAAGGUUAACUGCCUGAAGAUGAGCUCGCGUCCGAUUAGUUAGUUGGGUGUGGUAAGAGCGCACCAAGACGGCGAUCGGUAGCUGGUCUGAGAGGACGAUCAGCCACACUGGAACUGAGACACGGUCCAGACUCCUACGGGAGGCAUUGGCGGGGAAUUUUCCGCAAUGGGCGAAAGCCUGACGGAGCAAUACCGCGUGAGGGAGGAAGGCUCUUGGGUUGUAAACCUCUUUUCUCAGGGAAUAAAGUACUGAAGGUACCUGAGGAAUCAGCAUCGGCUAACUCCGUGCCAGCAGCCGCGGUAAUACGGAGGAUGCAAGCGUUAUCCGGAAUGAUUGGGCGUAAAGGCGUCCGCAGGUGGUUUUUCAAGUCUGCUGUCAAAGAGUCUGGCUCAACCAGAUAAAGGCAGUGGAAACUGAGAGACUAGAGUAUGGUAGGGGUAGAGGGAAUUCCUGGUGUAGCGGUGAAAUGGGUAGAGAUCAGGAAGAACACCGGUGGCGAAAGCGCUCUGCUGGACCAUAACUGACACUGAGGACGAAAUGCUUAGGGAGCGAAUGGGAUUAGAUACCCCAGUAGUCCUAGCCGUAAACGAUGGAUACUAGGCGUUACGCGUAUCGACCCGCGUAGUGCCG